rnacentral:rRNA from 1 species
GACGAACGCUGGCGGCGUGCUUAACACAUGCAAGUCGAACGAUGACGACCGAGCUUGCUCGGUCUGAUUAGUGGCGAACGGGUGAGUAACACGUGAGCAACCUGCCCUUCACUCUGAGAUAACCUCGGGAAAUCGGGGCUAAUACCGGAUAUGAGCUCCUGUCGCAUGGCGGGUGUUGGAAAGUUUUUCGGUGAAGGAUGGGCUCGCGGCCUAUCAGUUUGUUGGUGAGGUAGUGGCUCACCAAGGCGAUGACGGGUAGCCAGCCUGAGAGGGCGACCGGCCACACUGGGACUGAGACACGGCCCAGACUCCUACGGGAGGCAGCAGUGGGGAAUAUUGCACAAUGGGCGAAAGCCUGAUGCAGCGACGCCGCGUGAGGGAUGACGGCCUUCGGGUUGUAAACCUCUUUCAGCAGGGAAGAAGCGAAAGUGACGGUACCUGCAGAAGAAGCGCCGGCUAACUACGUG